AGUCUUGCUCUAUUGCCCAGGCUAUAAGUGGCGUGAUCUCAGUUCACUACAACCUCUGCCUCCUGGGUUCAAGCGAUUCUCCUGCCUCAACCUCCCAAGUAGCUGGGAUUACAGGCAUGCACCACCAUGCCAGGCUAAUUUUUGUAUUUUUAGUGGAGAUGGGGUUUCGCCAUGUUGGCCAGGGUGGUCUCGAACUCCUGACCUCAAGUGAUCCACCCGCCUUGGCCUCCCAAAUUGCUGGGAUUACAAGCAUGAGCCACUGCACGCAGCCUUACACUGAACUUUUAAUGGAUUCAAUUCCACUAGGAGCAUAAAGGCUAUUGCAUAUGAGUUGUGGAAAGAAGAGAUUGGAGGAAGAAGGAAGAACUUGAGAUGGGUUCCUCCCUUCAACCUUCUGUCUCCUCCUACCUAGCAUCUUCUUCCUUUUAGUCUUUCUAGAAUGUCCAUCUGUUUUUGGCCAUUGCAGAAAGAAGCUGAGCUUUAAAGGCGUAGGAGCUUCAAAAUUCUUGUUUCUUCAUGUUUGCUCACCUUCUAACCCUGUCUUAUGUUCCUUCUGCUAUUCUUUUUCUUAGAGCAUAGGAAAGGGGAGCUUUUACAUUAAUACUUAAAGCAUGCAAAAAAAUAACUUCAGAAGAAAAUGAAACAAGGGAGAUGAGGCUAGUAAAGUAAGGGAAAUGGAGAAGAGAAAGAGGAGGAAGGGUUAGCUUCUAAAUUCCAAGUCACAUUGAUAUGGAACAGGCAAGGCCUCUCGUCUUAAACUUCAGAAAAGGAUCUGCUGAAACUUGAUAGAAAUGGAAAGGGAAAUCCUUCGGGUGGGGAACCUCCAAACAUUAGUAGUGAUAUUGAACAACUCAAAGUAUUGAGCAACUCUGCAGGCUACAUGCCUGAAGAUCACCCAUGCAGAUAGAACAAAAGGAUUAGAAUUAUCUGUUGAUAUUAAUAUUUAUUGACAUCUAGCUAGUAUUGGUAAUUUUAAGUUUUAGAUUAAUUUCUUUGGUGACAGCUAUGAUAUAUUUUAUAGAAAAGAAUUAUAUGUAUAGGCUUGCCCUCAUAGGCUCUAUUUUAAUUAGCAUUAAUUUAAUCUACUUAUUUUAUUUUUAGCACAUUUGAAACAUUCACUUAUUCUAGGAAACUCAUUGCCGAAAAGAUGAUUCCUGUAUGUAUGGCAGCUAUACAUUAAGGAGGAGUCUCCCGGAAUAUGAAAAAGUCAACUGACCUAAAUAUUGCUGAGACAAAGGAAAACCCACUCCCUUGGAGGAGCAUGACCUUUUCCUGUAUUGCUUCCCACUGCUGUUGUUGAGCUCCUUGGACCCUGACUCCUGGACACCAUCAUCAAGAAGACUUUAUGGAUGGGCUAUCCACCCACUGAGAGAAGAGGAGCAUCAGCUACAGUUUCUCUCUAGAUUGCCUUCUUCAUUUUGAGUAAUGACUGUCAGCAGGGUCAGAUUAAAGACAAAACAACUGGACAAUUGCUUGGAGGACUAAACUAUAAGGGCACUAACAUAUCAAUAGUAUGCUAACACAUCCAUGGAAAAUAUAUUUACCAGCCCUUCUCUCAGGGAGGAGUCUGUGUGGGGUUGGAAGGAAUAGUCUGUUAAAUUCCUUAGGGGUAGAAAGUAGGGCAUAGUCAGAAUGUAGAGGAGCAUGCUGUUUGACUUCAGGGUUUCUGUUUUUCUUACUAGGAUAUAUAAAACAAGGACUCUAGCUAGAUUGUUUAUGACCACAGAGGGUAGGCUGAGUGCUCUCAUGAUCUUCCUGCUUGAUUCUUGCUCCUACAGACCUCAGCCUUUCCUCUAAUAAAGAUUGAACAAGUAGUGGUCUGAGGGAGACACCAAUUCAUUACCCUACAUGUCUCUUCUUUGCACUCUAGGGCUUUGAUAAUAAAGACACUGGCAGACUAUCUAUCUUCCAUUUCUAUAAUGUGAGCCCUUAGGGAGUCUUCGUUCACUUGCGGGUGACAGUCAUUGCUCACAGAGUAGUUCAAGUCAAAUGGAACUUGAACUCUUUGCCUAUGGGCCUGGUGGUCAGACUCUGUGUUGAGUUCAUUAGAUUAUUGGGAACACAAGGUAGAGCUGGGCCCUUCAAAAAUAUUUGGCUAAAGGAUGACAUUGCUGGUUAUUUGUAGAUAAAGCCAUCAUGGAACAUGCUUGGAAUUAUGAAAUAUGGAACUGGUGGUCAUGUUUAAUAAUACAACUAAUAGUUAAGUAACUACUGGAUACUGUAGAGACUUAGAAGCAAGACAGACAUGGUUCCUGCCCCCAUGGAGCUUACACUGUAGCUUUCCCUUAGGUAUGAAGAACAGUGGCUACAACUAAUAAAUGGUCAUAAAGAUAUCAUUGAGCCAGUGUUCCAGUUAUUAGAAUAAUUCCUAUUUCCUUAAUCAUGCUUACUGAUCAUGUUCUAUAAGCCUGCAUUCUAUAAAUGGCCUGUAAGCAUGGGCUGUUUCCCCCCAGCAAGUUGUACAAAGUUCUGUGGUACCAGGCAAAGGGCUUAAGGUUAGCAGGGUCUCUGGGGAAGGACAUACGAAGUGACUUGGGUCAGGAAACAGGAAGGGAUAGGUUUCAAGAACAGCUAUCGCUUCUGUUCUGUAUAGAAAACUGCAGGAUGAAAAAUGCUGGGCCCCAGCAUUUUUGAGACCUGGGUGUUAGUUUGUGUUCUAAUACUAACAAGCUAUGUGACUGUGGGUAAGUCAUUUCACAUUCCACUUGGAUGCCUCUUGAGUGACUCCAGGCCUCUCCAGCUCUAAAACAUUAAGAUCAGGCUCUAUGCUACAGCUGGCCUUAUGUAAUUCUCCUGUUUCUACACUGUUAGGUCAAAUCAAUCUUCAAUAGUUACUUGAUUGUUGUUACUUUUUUCUGAAGCGGGUGUUUUACCAAUGUUUCAGGAUACAGUGAGUCUGCUUCUUCCCUUUGGAGUUAGGAAGGUUGUAGCAAUAUACACUGUAGAGCUUAUGGAAGCUUUAUUCCUUCCUUUUUUCCCCCUUACCUUUCUCCCGCUCCUUCCCUUCCUCAAACAUUUCUAUUGAGCAUAUACCAUUGCCAUGUACCAGGUGUGUGCUAGGUUUGGAGAUACAAGGUAAACCUGAGAGUUUCCCAGACUCCAGGAGACAAAACCCUUAUUUCUUUCAUCUGCUGGCUUUCUCUUUGGAAAGAAUCAACGAUGUCCCAGGGGAGUGUGCCCAUGUCCCAGGGUAACCAACUACAGACAGAUGCCCCAUUCUACUCAAGCAACUUUUAGAGUGCCUUGAGAUACACAUCAGUUAAUUAUUCGGGGCCAGGCAUGAUGCUGUACACCUGUAGUCACAGCACUUUGGGUGGCUGAGGCAGCAGAUUGCUUGAGCUCAGGAAUUCAAGACUAGACUAGAGAACAUGGCAAAACCCAAGCUCUACAAAAACAUACAAAAAUUAGCUGCGUGUGGUGGCCCCUGACUAGUACAAGCUACUCAGGAGACUGAGGUGGGAGAAUUGCUUGAGCCUGUGAGGUCGAGACUGCAGUGAGCUGAGAUCAUGCCAUUGCACUCCAGCCUGGGUGACAUAGGGAGACCCUGUCUU